UAGAGUCCAGGUGGGAUCCCAGCCAGGCCCCAGGCAGGGGUCGGGGCAGCCAUGGGCAGUAGCCGCCCCCCCACACCCCCUCACCCUGCCGAAUUGCUGGCCGGGCAGGGCUGGGCCCUGGGAGCAGACGUGCCCAUCCAGGAGCCGCCCCGCCCCCUCCCGGAUGUGUGGUUUUGCCCUGGGCUGUUGACUUCCACUGGCUGAGACGAGGCAGCAGAUCUCCACCCAGCUAGGCUGAGGAUCCUUCACGGGGACUCAGCCCCUCAUCCGGUGGGAUGGGGUAGUCAGGGUUGGCUUCCUGGAGGAGGUGGCACCUCAAGCAGGUCUUGAAGACUGAGCAGGACUUAGAAGGGUGCUGGAGGGUGAGGGCAAGCACCAGCCUGGCCCAGCUGUGGGUGAUUCCGGGUCAUUGGGGUUCUCAAGCCAGCCCUCCCACGACCCCCUUGCCAUCCCCGGCCCACAUCUGGAACUGCUCGCUGAUGGCAAGGUCAGCACAGAAAGUCUCAGCCCCCACCUGGCAAGGAGCAGCGCUGGAACCAGGACACACGGCCUCGGGCCGGCUCUCCCCCUGGCUGGGGGCUUGGCAGCCUUUGGCACGUAGCAGCUGGCUCUUUUCUUCCCUGCUGGGGCUGUGACGCUCCACACCCCGGCCUGGGGCCCCACCCGGGGCUUGAACUCACCACCCUGAG